rnacentral:sRNA from 1 species
GAGCCGCAGCCGCCGCCGCCACUGCCACUCCCGCUCUCUCCGCGCCGCCGUCGCCACCGCCACCGCCACUACCACCGGCUGAGUCUGCAGUCCCGAGGAGAAAUGCAAGCCUGGCAGCCAUUCCGCUCUGAGGAGAUCUGGGGGAACCCCACCGGCUGGCCAAGCUGCAAAGAGGCGCGGGAACCACUGUCGUGCCCCUCCCCUCCUCACUGCAGUGUUCUCCCAUCUCAUCAUUUGAUCGUACCCCGCCCCCCACUGCAGUGACCUCCCCUUCCUCACUGCAUUGACCUUCUCCUCUUCCCAAGGGGGAGGGGGAAUCCCUUCGACAGCCCUAGACUGCAGCCAGCGCCUCCCUACCCACCCCCCACCCACUGCAGUAACCUCUUUCCCAUCCCUCCCAGCCUCCCGCCCCGCCCAUUGAUCUCAGGCUCCACCCCUCUAAGCCUCUUAUCUUUCUCCUUCCUUCCCUUCCACCCGAGGAGAUCCCAGCCAUCAUGUCCAUAGAGAAGAUCUGGGCCCGGGAGAUCCUGGACUCCCGCGGGAACCCCACAGUGGAGGUGGAUCUCUAUACUGCCAAAGGGCUUUUCCGGGCUGCAGUGCCCAGUGGAGCCUCUACGGGUAUCUAUGAGGCCCUGGAGCUGAGGGAUGGAGACAAACAGCGUUACUUAGGCAAAGGUGUCCUGAAGGCAGUGGACCACAUCAACUCCACCAUCGCGCCAGCCCUCAUCAGCUCAGUGAGGCCUGCUCUUUGCUGGGGAUAGCAGGGCCAGAGUUCUGGAAGUAAUCCCGGAGCAGGGCAGGAGAAAGGGGAGAAAGA